ACCCGGAUAUUCUCCCUAUUCUGACUCUGUGAUAAUUAGGAAAUACUAAACAGUCGCUAAUGUAAGACCAUGCAUGUGUCUCAGUCCUACUUCUUUAACUAGGCUGGGUUUUUAAAAUGCUGGUGACAGGU